GACGAGCGCUGGCGGCGCGCCUAACACAUGCAAGUCGAACGGAGCUUAGAGAGCUUGCUUUUUAAGCUUAGUGGCGAACGGGUGAGUAACGCGUGAGUAACCUGCCCUAGAGUGGGGGACAACAGUUGGAAACGACUGCUAAUACCGCAUAAGCCCACGGUACCGCAUGGUACUGAGGGAAAAGGAUUUAUUCGCUUUAGGAUGGACUCGCGUCCAAUUAGCUAGUUGGUGAGGUAACGGCCCACCAAGGCGACGAUUGGUAGCCGGACUGAGAGGUUGAACGGCCACAUUGGGACUGAGACACGGCCCAGACUCCUACGGGAGGCAGCAGUGGGGGAUAUUGCACAAUGGGGGAAACCCUGAUGCAGCGACGCCGCGUGGAGGAAGAAGGUUUUCGGAUUGUAAACUCCUGUCGUUAGGGACGAUAAUGACGGUACCUAACAAGAAAGCACCGGCUAACUACGUGCCAGCAGCCGCGGUAAAACGUAGGGUGCAAGCGUUGUCCGGAAUUACUGGGUGUAAAGGGAGCGCAGGCGGGAAGACAAGUUGGAAGUGAAAACCAUGGGCUCAACCUAUGAAUUGCUUUCAAAACUGUUUUUCUUGAGUAGUGCAGAGGUAGAUGGAAUUCCCGGUGUAGCGGUGGAAUGCGUAGAUAUCGGGAGGAACACCAGUGGCGAAGGCGGUCUACUGGGCACCAACUGACGCUGAGGCUCGAAAGCAUGGGUAGCAAACAAGAUUAGAUCCCCUGGUAGUCCAUGCCGUAA
rnacentral:rRNA from 1 species